AAGCUGGAGAAGAUGGAGCAGCUGCAGGAGGUGGAAAAGACCCGUCACCUUCUGGGAGAGGCGGCUCCCGUGGGAACAGCUCCCACCACCAAGUCCCUAAGUGAGUCUCUGUCCCCCAGCGUGAGCUCCGGCACUCUGUCCACAUCCACCUCCGCCUCCUCGCAGAUCUCCAGCACCACCUUUGAAAGCGUGAGAAGGAGCUGGCCACCAAGUGCCUGCGCCUUCUGACACACACCUUCAAUACUGAAUACAACCAGCUGGUGAACAGCAUCAGUGACUGCAAGCUUUCUCUCAUCUCACCGAUCGGACGUGAUCCAUCCGUGACGAGCUUCAGCAGUGCCACCCUCACCCCUUCCUCUACCUGCCCCUCUCUCUCGGACUCGCGCUGUGGCUCCAUGGGCCAGAAGACCCCUGAGAACAGCUCACGUGCCUCCAGUCCCUCCUGCUCAGACUGUGAAAACUUCUUGAUGGUUCCCACUCUGGAGACCUCCUACCUUGCGCGGGCUGCAAAAGAACGAGUUCCUGAACUUGGUGCCUGAUAUUGAAGAAAUGCGACCAGGGAAUUUUUAAAAGGCACCAAAAAGCAUUACAACGCUGAGCUCGAGUCUGUGGACUUCAAAGGAAAUGCAGAGGAGGCCAGGGUCCACAUCAACAGCUGGGUGGAGAAGCAGACACAAGGUAAGCAUAAUGUAACUUUAAAUGAUCUCCACUGUAAAUCCUUGGGGAUCAGUUGUGUUGUGUUCAGUUGAGACAUUAUUACCGGAUUGUCCACCGUCCACAUUAUUUUCUGUUUCCAGUUCUUCCAGUCUAAUUUCUAUUCAGUAUUAAGCAGCACUAUCUCUGGGUUUUACUGUUUGGUUUCAUGCUAUUAAUAAAACCAUCACAGCAGUAUGUUGCUGUAAAUAGCAGGCCAAUUCUUCUAUUCUUAUUAUAUUAUGUGAUGGGUACUUCUACUUUGAUCACUUGUGUCUUUAACAUAUUUUUAUUUUUCAGGCCCAUUUAGGAUUGGCUGCUAUUGAUUCUAUAUCUUUAUAUUAUCUUAAGUGCAGCAGGAAAUUCAUUCAUUGUUUUUAUAAAAGCGCGAUACAAAUACAGGCCAUUUAUAAAUCUACCAUCUAUAAUAAUAGGAUACAAGGACUUUCUAUGAGGGUUAUAGGACUGUGGUGCCACCUGCUGGAAAUGAGACAAUCUUAAUCCCAGUUGAAAGAAGACAUUAUUUUUGUAGGAGCCAUUUUUGGGUUGAUACCUUAUGUUGCC